GCAUGAUUUUUUUGGUUUAUUUUGUUUGCUCGCAUUCCAAGGUUUACAUUUCGAAGUUAGUUUGUACAACUACAUUAUUGAAGAAACAGUUUUCUAUCGACAUUCGUAUAUCGUUCCUAAGAUAAUUUAUAGCAUUUAACAUUGUUUGGAGAAUUAGCACUAGACUCCUCUUACAGUCACAGUUGGUUGCAUCUGGUACAUUUCAAUCACAAAUAAUUAUACUGGAGAAUUGAAGUGAAAUCAGCUAAAGGUCGCAGUUGACUGCAUAAUUUAUAUCUGGGUCACAGUGAAGUCCUUGAAUUAAUUUUGGUUAUCUUCCUGGAUACAUAUACAGAUUAGACUUGGUAGGAAUCAUUUGAAAAUCAAGAAGAAUAUAUUGUAGAUGAAUUAAAUAUUUUAUUCUUAAUAAUAUUAUUUUGUUUGUGGUUGUAAAUAAACAUUGGAAGAAGCAAAGGCAUACAUGUAUGAACGCUUGUCCCAGAGCAAAUGGACUUUUGGGGAAAUGAUACAUCUGUAUGUGAGAAAAACUGUGUGUGUUUUGAUUCCUUCUAUUAUGCAACUAUUUGAUAAAGAGCCAUUUCAGUAUUGAGACACAACAUUGUUACAUUGAAAAAAAUGAACUCUUCAACUUUGUACUUUAUUUGGCCUUUUUAUCUUCUUUUUUUUUUUAUCAAGGGUCACCGAUGAAAUAAUUCUGGCACACACAUAUAAUUUCAAUCCUGGUAUCUAUGAUGAGUUUAUUAUAAGAUCUUCUGUGAUGAGAUAGAUUAACUUCACCCCAAAUCAAAAGUCAGGAUUGACCUAUUCAAUAUCUCAAUAUUAUCUGGCUUUUAGUGAAAAGUAUAGUUAACAUGAUUAAUGAAUGGUAUUGUCAUUAUUAUUUAAGCAGACUUACUGCUCCACACUUCUCUAGUGACAGUUGAAUGUUAAAAUUGUUUUGUCCAUGCAUUUGACAAUGAGUGCUUUUUUUUU